rnacentral:misc_RNA from 1 species
AUUACACUGCAGACAAUUAGCGGACAGAUUUUUGGUGUGGGAAGGGGGGGUUGUGGGGGGGUGGUUCCAUAGAAGAAAGGUCUUGGGAUUGCAAAUCAAGAAACAGCAUUACCCUUCAUUUUGUUUUUCUCAUUAGAAGUUAAAUAAGAGUAAGAAAAAGAUUAUGGAAAUAACACAAAAUUGGAAAUGAAUAUGGAAAGCCAAAAAAAUACAUUGUAGAUUAGCAUACAGAUUUUCGCGAUAAUAAUAGUCAUAAUCAGGAGUCAGGACUAACAUUGACAAAACUAUAAUAUAGACUACAAUUAAAUCAAUACAACGUUCUAAGUAAUUAUAAUGAUACUGUUCGAUUAACAAAUCCCAUAUGCUACUGUGCACUUAAUUAAGGAACCACUAGAAGACGCAAGAAUUUUCACCUCA